AAAUAUGAUGGCUAGCUACGAUAGCCUAGUUAAUGUGAGGAGAAAAUGUCUCUUUUUCCAUGAAUGUGUCAGGACGUGUCUCAUUGUCAGGAUCCUACAGGAUCUUUAGGAAGGACCCAUUACUAGGACCCAUGUGGUGCCUCGACCGCAGUAGGGGCUCGGCCCAUUGGAGAAUGUCCCAACCACCCUUGGAGGGUGCCUAAUCUUCCUGGGGUGAAGUCUUUCACUUAUCAUGGUAGCCCGAUCCCUUGUGGCUAGGCCACACUCAACCUGGAUAGAAGAGAUGA
rnacentral:lncRNA from 1 species